rnacentral:tRNA from 1 species
GGUACCAUAGCCAAGCGGUAAGGCCAGGGUCUGCAAAACCCUUAUGCCCCGGUUCAAAUCCGGGUGGUACCUCCA